UAACACAUGCAAGUACGUACGAGUAGCUUUAGUAACUCAAGUGGCGGACGGGUGAGUAACACGUGAGAAUUUACCUUUAGGAGGGGGAUAACAAUUGGAAACGAUUGCUAAUACCCCAUAUGCUUUCGAGUGAAAUAGAGUUAUCUGCCUAAAGAGAAGCUCGCGGCUGAUUAGCUUGUUGGUAAGGUAAUGGCUUACCAAUGCGACGAUCAGUAUCUGGUUUGAGAGGACGAUCAGACACAUUGGAACUGAGACACGGUCCAGACUCCUACGGGAGGCAGCAGUGGGGAAUUUUCCGCAAUGGGCGAAAGCCUGACGGAGCAAUACCGCGUGAGGGAAGACGGCCCAUGGGUUGUAAACCUCUUUUUUCAGUGAGGAAACAAAUGACGUGUAGCUGAAGAAUAAGCAUCGGCCUAACUCCGUGCCAGCAGCCGCGGUAAGACGGAGGAUGCAAGUGUUAUCCGGAAUCACUGGGCGUAAAGCGUCUGUAGGUGGUUUAAUAAGUCAACUGUUAAAUCUUGAGGCUUAACUUCAAAAUCGCAGUCGAAACUAUUAGACUAGAGUAUAGUAGGGGUAAAGGGAAUUUCCAGUGGAGCGGUGAAAUGCGUAGAUAUUGGAAAGAACACCGAUGGCGAAG
rnacentral:rRNA from 1 species